rnacentral:rRNA from 1 species
GAUGAACGCUGGCGGCGUGCCUAAUACAUGCAAGUCGAGCGAACAGACGAGGAGCUUGCUCCUCUGACGUUAGCGGCGGACGGGUGAGUAACACGUGGAUAACCUACCUAUAAGACUGGGAUAACUUCGGGAAACCGGAGCUAAUACCGGAUAAUAUAUUGAACCGCAUGGUUCAAUAGUGAAAGACGGUUUUGCUGUCACUUAUAGAUGGAUCCGCGCCGGAUUAGCUAGUUGGUAAGGUAACGGCUUACCAAGGCAACGAUGCGUAGCCGACCUGAGAGGGUGAUCGGCCACACUGGAACUGAGACACGGUCCAGACUCCUACGGGAGGCAGCAGUAGGGAAUCUUCCGCAAUGGGCGAAAGCCUGACGGAGCAACGCCGCGUGAGUGAUGAAGGUCUUCGGAUCGUAAAACUCUGUUAUUAGGGAAGAACAAAUGUGUAAGUAACUAGGCACGUCUUGACGGUACCUAAUCAGAAAGCCACGGCUAACUACGUG